UCCCUGGUGGCUCAAAUGGUUAAGAAUCUGCCUGCCAAGCAGGAGAUGCAGGUUCGAUCCCUCCGUUGGGAA
rnacentral:tRNA from 1 species